UGCAGCUGUAACAAAGCCAGAAGGAGGUCAGAGAAGGCUUUGCACAACGCUCAGCUGGAGCUCUUCCACUGCACGUGCUUGCUGCCCUCGGAAAUGGAUUUGCUUGCCCCUGGUUCCCCUCUCUUUUCACAUGGAGCUUCUUGGAUGAGCUUGGAUCUGAGGCACGGGGUGAUCUAUGAAGGAAUUCAACAAUCCCUAGGGAAGGGAUAGCAUGGAAAGGGAGUGGAAAAAGAAUAUAAGGGAAACCUAAAUGUUGGCUGUUUGCCAACCAUCUCAUUUAUCACUCAACUUGUUCAUGACUAAAAUCUAUCAUCAGAGAACUGCACUGAAAUCAAUGAAGGUCAAACAGUUUAAUCUGUCCAAUUAUUCCAGAGGGAGUAAACACAGCCCCCAGAUUUAUCAGAGAAACGUGGACUUCCAAGUUGUUCAAGCAAGCUUUUACCCAUCUGCCAACACUGGGAACCGGAGAGUGGGAAGUAAACCUGCAGAGUAUUAUCACAAACAGUGGAUGACUUACAUCUCUAAAGGAUGCAAUUUUGAUGCCAACAGCCU